AUUGUGUAUUGUGACUGUUGUAGGUACAGGGUAAGAUUGUGUAUUAUGACUGUUGUAGGUACAGGGUAAGAUUGUGUAUUGUGACUGUUGUAGGUACAGGGUAAGAUUGUGUAUUGACUGUUGUAGGUA